UACAGAGGUCUCAAGCGUUGUUCGGAUUCAUUGGGCGUAAAGGGUGCGUAGGCGGCGCGGUAAGUCGGGUGUGAAAUCUCGGAGCUUAACUCCGAAACUGCAUUCGAUACUGCCGUGCUUGAGGACUGGAGAGGAGACUGGAAUUUACGGUGUAGCGGUGAAAUGCGUAGAUAUCGUAAGGAAGACCAGUGGCGAAGGCGGAUCUCUGGACAGUUCCUGACGCUGAGGCGCGAAGGCCAGGGGGAGCAAACGGG
rnacentral:rRNA from 1 species